CAUAUUUAUGGGUGGACGCAA
rnacentral:miRNA from 1 species